rnacentral:rRNA from 1 species
CCUACGGGAGGCAGCAGUGAGGAAUAUUGGUCAAUGGCCGUAAGGCUGAACCAGCCAAGUCGCGUGAAGGAAGAAGGAUCUAUGGUUUGUAAACUUCUUUUAUAGGGGAAUAAAGGUAUCCACGUGUGGAUAUUUGCAUGUACCCUAUGAAUAAGCAUCGGCUAACUCCGUGCCAGCAGCCGCGGUAAUACGGAGGAUGCGAGCGUUAUCCGGAUUUAUUGGGUUUAAAGGGUGCGUAGGUUGGUUUUUAAGUCAGCGGUGAAAGUUUGUGGCUCAACCAUAAAAUUGCCGUUGAAACUGGAAGACGUGAGUGUGUUUGAGGUAGGCGGAAUGCGUGGUGUAGCGGUGAAAUGCAUAGAUAGCACGCAGAACGCCGAUUGCGAAGGCAGCUUACUAAGCCAUAACUGACACUGAAGCACGAAAGCGUGGGGAUCAAACAGGAUUAGAUACCCCUGUAGUC